rnacentral:ncRNA from 2 species
UGAGGAAGUCCGGUGCGAAUCCGGCGCGGUCCCGCCACUGUCACCGGGGAGGGUUCCUCCAGUGAAGGCCACGGUCCGUCUCGCGGACGCCGGACGGCGUACGCGCAGGGCUGGAAGGCCGGAGGACUCGCCGAUCCGGGGAGCCAGGAGACUC